ensembl:lncRNA
UGUUUACUGGGGGGGUGACCCCGCCUCUGCUCCACUAACACCAGGUGUUUCAGUGAUCCUGUUGGAGGCCUGAGGAGAGAGCUAGAUCUCAGAUAACGAUGCAAAACAGCAGGCUCAAGGAGUUCAGGGACCUCUGCUCUCAACACAGCCGAACGUCAACAACAACUGGGUGGGACAAGGCAGAAAUGGAGCAGGUCGACUUCCUCUUCUUGGUGAGGCAGGGGGGAGCACCGAAAGAGGAAGUGAGGCAGUUUCUACUAGUAGAAGUGCAGAUGCUGAGAUGGGGGAUGGAAGGAACUAUUUUCAGCAGGCCCUGAGACACUUCAACUUCCUGACCCUGUUGUUUACAUCUAAGGUAAAGUUGACUGGGAAACCAAAAUGUCAGACGUCAAUGAGAUCUUUGUUCUGUGCAUAAGAGUAGAGGCCUCUGUUUGUGUGUUUACGUGUGUGUGUUGUGUGGGGAGAGAGAGAGAGGUCAGCCAUUUUCAUGUGCCAAGAGGGCAGCACUCUGAAAUGAUUAGCGUGAAAUUAGUGUAACUCUGUUAAAACCCUGGGUUUCUCAGAAGAAAAACGAAAGGAACUUACAGGAAUGAUGUAGGGCCUAACCAGGAUCAAAACACAACACAUGGUUUCCCAUUGAGUGGGGAAAACAGCAAAACAAAGAGAAAAUGCAGUUAUCUGCCAGCCUACUUCAAACACAUAGAACUGUGUGUAGCCUAUAGGCUACGGUUGCAGUGCAGAGUGUGCAUGUGCUUGCCUGACAGUGACAUGGUCACUCAUUGAUCUGAUGUGGGGCUGAGAGAGAAUAAGCUGUGGCUGUGCAGAAGUCAGCAGAAUCUCCCAGAGAAACACAGGGAGUGUAAACGCAGCUGGCUGAAUCAGGGGCUUUGGAGGCCAUCACGUUUGAGGGAGAGAGGGGGAAAUGGCAGAAGGGUCAUGGG